UACAGAGGGUGCAAGCGUUAAUCGGAAUUACUGGGCGUAAAGCGCGCGUAGGCGGAUGAUUAAGUCGGCUGUGAAAGCCCCGGGCUCAACCUGGGAAUUGCACUCGAUACUGGUCAUCUAGAGUAUGGGAGAGGAAAGUAGAAUUCCUGGUGUAGCGGUGAAAUGCGUAGAUAUCAGGAGGAAUAUCAGUGGCGAAGGCGACUUUCUGGACCAAUACUGACGCUCAGGUGCGAAAGCGUGGGGAGCAAACAGG
rnacentral:rRNA from 1 species